rnacentral:rRNA from 1 species
UACGGAGGAUCCAAGCGUUAUCCGGAUUAUUGGGUUUAAAGGGUGCGUAGGCGGCCUGUUAAGUCAGGGGUGAAAGACGGUAGCUCAACUAUCGCAGUGCCCUUGAUACUGAUGGGCUUGAAUGGACUAGAGGCAGGCGGAAUGAGACAAGUAGCGGUGAAAUGCAUAGAUAUGUCUCAGAACACCGAUUGCGAAGGCAGCUUGCUAUGGUUUAUUGACGCUGAGGCACGAAAGCGUGGGGAUCAAACAGG